rnacentral:rRNA from 1 species
CCGGCGCACGGGUGAGUAACGCGUAUCCAACCUGCCCUUUACUAUGGGACAGCCCGUCGAAAGGCGGAUUAAUACCGUAUGUUGUCAUGUUGAUGCAUAUUUUCAUGACCAAAGGCUUCGGCCGGUAAAGGAUGGGGAUGCGUCUGAUUAGCUUGCCGGCGGGGUAACGGCCCACCGGGGCGACGAUCAGUAGGGGUUCUGAGAGGAAGGUCCCCCACAUUGGAACUGAGACACGGUCCAAACUCCUACGGAAGGCAGCAG